rnacentral:lncRNA from 1 species
UCACCCUCUCCAUUUAGCAUACAUAGGAUGUACUAGUCUAUUCAGAAUAUUGAUCUCCGACUCAAUGCUUCUACGAUCAGAAAUAUUUAAUAUUAAGAUUUUAGAAUUUUAGGUCUCACUAGCAUGACCAAUUCAUGUCUCCUAAAAUCAUUAUCCUAAUCUUUGGAGUUCAUCAUAAUCUUAGACAUAAUAAGAUACAGCUAUUAUGAUGAA